GAGUGCAUAAAGAAAAGGCCACGUGAGGACACAGCAAGAAAGUGGUCAUCUGCAAGCGCAAAAGACAGGCCUCAGAAGAACCCAACCCUAUUGACACUAUGAUCUUGGACAUCCAGCCUCCAGAACUCCUAGGAGCAGAGAAGAAACCAUAUUUACUCAUCAUCAUUGUACUGGACAACCUAAGACAGGGAAAUAAAGAUAAAGUUUGGAUUGAAGAGUGAGGAGCCAAAAUAAUGCAGCUUCACAUCUCCUUAAUGGACAGAAGACUACACUGUUUUUGCUGCACCCAGAGAUAAAAUUAUUGGUUUUGGAGUACCUUCACUGAUGCCAGGGGUGUCAUCUUUACCUUCCAUCACAUAAUAUAUAUAAAGAGAAUUUUUCUUAGCUUUAAAUGAGUUGAUAAGAGGACAAGAAGAAAGUCAAGGACUCCAUUUCCAGGAUUAAAAGCGGUUUUUUCCUUUGUCUUCCAAAUCCUAGCAGUAGAAGCAUUUGAGUUCUGCAGAAAUUACUGAAGUGGUUCAAGUGUGGGCAGUCAGGACACUCAGCCCACCAUACUCAACCCCAACUCAACCUCAACUCUCAGUACGGCAGAGAGACGGAGAACUCAGAGCUAUAACUUUCAGGAAUUCUCAAAACCUCAGACAAAAUGCAUCUUUGUUUUACCACCUGUUAAAGUAUAUCCUCAUCUGCCUCAGUGCACAUAAGUAUACAACACUGCAGAUUGUGUUUAA
rnacentral:lncRNA from 1 species